GAUCCCUGCUGGAACAUUUCAACCCGCCUGCCACGUCAGUUUGCUUCCACCAUCCUCCCUCGCUCCUUCUCCUCCCUCGCUCCUUCUCCUCUUGUGCUCAGUCUCCUUCUCUCGCUCUUUCCGCCACAGAGGACUGGUCAAGACUGAACGGUACCAGUUGUUUUGAGGCGUAGUCAGAGUGACAGGUUAAAGGUUUGUCUUCAGCUCUGGUCAGCGGUAUCUUUUGAAGCUCUUUUUGUUUCGCUGAGAGAGGGGAUAUCUUCGCCAAGGCCUGGGCUGCUCUGACCGAACUAAUGGGCAGUGACCUGCAGCCGGAGCGACCCCGCGGGCCUUCCCCCCUCCUCACCCCCCCGCCUGCCCAGUGUUCAGACUACCUGUUCAUCAGGCUGAAGCUGAACAGUAGUCUGCACAUUGGUUAGGCUGGGCUGGGACACACACACAGGACACAUCUUACAACCAGCCAGCAGGGGCUCUGGAUAGUGACUCUGCGGUCAGGAUGAACCAGUACUCCUUGGAGCCUCCCUUCAUGAUGCUGAUGUUGAUGGUGAGCCAGCCUUUGCGGAUGACCUGUUAUGGGAGAGAUAGGAGUGGUGGAACAGGGGAGCGAGGGGUGGUGGGGGACAAGGUAUACCAGGAGGAUGGAGGGAAAACAAGUCAUUAAAGUACUCAUGAUUUACCUCCUGGAGAUCUUGUGAUAUGACUAAGUUAACUGACCAAUAAAAAGCUUACCUGGGUACUCAGUGUGAGUUUGGUUGAUCCUGUCUUACCAAUAUAAGCACUAAGAUGUUCUACAUACUCUAAAUUAACUCUUCUAUUCUGAGUAUAAAGAUUUACAAUUCCAACAACGUUUCUGAACAUGAUCCCUGAUGUAUAUAGUAAGCAUACAAAAGUAUCAUUCAGAAAGGAUGACUAACUGAAAGGGUGGAGAUUUAAACAGGAAACCUCAAACAAACCUUAAUAACCUCAAAACUAACUAAUAUGGGGCAUCCAGACCAAAUGGGACCCACACAGGUUCAGGGAUCAAGGGUCGGCGGUGGUAUGUUAGAGUGAGCGGGUCAGUAAAAGCUAGCCUAUACACGGUUAGCCAAAACAGACUAGGGUUAGUGGGUUAACUGGGCAGGGUCGUCAGACAUACACUCCAGUGUAGGACACUGUAGGAGGCUAAACACCUAACAGGAGAUGGGAGAUGGAGAGGCAAGAGGAGGAGGGCCAGACUGUACAGCGAUAUGAGGAAUACAGUACAGCGAUAUGCAGAGACAAUGGAGACGGGUAGACUGAGCCACAGCUCACGGACGGACGGGAGAGAGAGGGAUGAAAAAUAAAUAAGAGGAUUUAAGGAAGGGAGAGAGGAAAGAGAGAUGAGACAGGGUUGAGAGGUUCUUUCUGUAGACGAGUUGUAUUAGAGCAGGGGUCCUCAACCUUUUUAUGCCCAGGGACGCCCUCGCAGGCAAACCGACAACCCAGGGAACCCCAUCCUAAGUUAGCAAACAUUGUUUUCACGACUUGUCUUAUCAGAUGAAUGAUAAUGUCAAGCAGAAGUAAUAACAUUUGAAAAUGAAUAGAUUUGGUAAAUAGUUUUUCAUUAUUUUGACCUCCCCACAUAUAACUGGAAGAGGAAGUGUAAACUAACAGCCUAUUUGCUAGAAAAGGUAACUCCAAACACAUUUUCGCUAAGAACAACUGUUUAGCGCUGGUUAAACAAAGGUUAGCCAUGUCUGGCCAAAAAUGUAUGUCCAAGUCAACAAAGCUUUGCAGCAGUACUUGCCACAGUGGUAGUCUAUUCACAGGUGCUGUUUCAAAGCCUAUGUCAGAUACACCAGUGAGUGUAAUUAUCUUUAAUUAGUGUAAUCUGUUCAAUAUUAGGAGUUAAAAAAAUAAAGUUGACAUCAGAAAUAUACUCUUAUUUUCUACUGCAUGUAAUUCAACAUUUGCUUAUUCUGUUGCUAGUGAUAUUCAUAAAAACCUUUAAAU